AGCAUUUAACAAAAAAAUUAACAGAAAAACUGACAUAUUGGCACAAAUUCGUAAGAUAAGAUAUAACAUUAUCAAUUUAAAAAAAUAAGGUAUGAAAAUAUCGUGACACUAAGUAGUUUUUCGUACUUUACCCAAUUUUCAUUUUCUUUGAACACCACCAUGGCACCAUCCAUUGGUGUAUCCAGAAUUAUCCAGGGGUCCUGAUGUAAGGGAUCCAAGGAUUUUUAAAUGCGUCGCAAAUGGUGUCGCUGAUAAUAAUAUAGCGCCUAAAUGUUGUUUUAAGUUUUCAAUUAGGCGCUUUAUUUUUCAGACGAAAAAGAACGGGCGCGCCUUUCAUUCUUCUCUCCCUCCACCUUCUCAUCUUUCAUAUUCGACUGAAAAAUGAGAGCCCUAAUCCAUCCAAUCAGAGAUUUUGGGAGAAUCAUCGGAAAUUAUGGACCACAAUCGGAGAUCCUGAAGCGCAAUCGAAAAUUUCUGAUUAAAGCUUAAAGUUUCACGCUAGCAGCAGAUAGAUGUUGUCGGAGAAUGGCAGCGGCGGUGCCAACAAUAUUGGUGGCGAUAAGGAAGAGGAGCAGGAGCUCUCGUUUUUAACCGUGCCCAGUUGUUAGUUUUGCUAUUUUUGCCAUAUUUUUUUGGUUAAUUUUGGCAAACUUUGUCUAAAUUUGAAUUGUGUAAUUCCUGAAAAGUUUAAUAUACUCGGAUAAACUUGUGAAAAUUAGCACUUUGAAAGCCCGUUUGAUCAAGUCGUUGAUUUGAGUAUUUGAAAUGUAUCAGUUGCACCUGCACAUAAUUUUAGUAAUUAGUUCAUGGGAAUGGAAUUGCCUAAUAGGUUAAGACAUGGGUUUCUCAUGGAUUGCCUAUUAGAUGCUGUUUGAAAACUGAAUUGUCGAAACUUGAAAGUUUUGAAUCACCUUUUAACAUAUUAUUAGGAGUUGAACUCUAAGUUCUUGAUCAUGUGAUCCUUUAUGUUCGGUUGAUGAAACGAGCUCGCAAGAAUUUGAGGCCAGUUACCGGCCAAAGCCUGAUUUGCUAAAAGCUAUUGCAGUAUUUGCAGCAGCUGGAACUGGGUGGUGGCAAUUAACCAAUCCUGGGUUGCUGCCAAUUAGAUAACAUUUUAUUUCCAGCAUGGUUGUUGAAAAGUGCCUUUCCCAUGAUUUCGAGUUGCCUUGGCACUGCGGUUUGGAAUAGGAUGCGUGGGCAUCAUUUUUGAAGAAUCGCUGGCCAUGAACAAAAGUGGAGUAGGUUUGUUAAUGGUUGUCUACAUUUGUUUGUGGUGCAGGGUGGAUGAGCUUAAAAUCUUGACCGAGGAAUUUUUAGUCGAUAUGGCUAUCAAGGAAGCAUUUAAGAUUUGGGCACGUGCAGACCCGGGGCAGACUAGUUUCCUUGGUCAGGCAGAGUUUUACAAUGCCCUUAGAAUUGUCACUGUGGCACAAGUAAGAGAGAACUUACGCCAGAAAUGGUGAAGGCAGCAUGAUAUGGCCCGGCUGAAGCUAGAAUACUUGCACCCAAGAUAAAUCUUGCAGCAACACCCGACUCAUCGUUUGGAGAUGAUGUGUUUUCUGCAACCCCAUCUUAACCAAAGCAGAAUUUUCCUCCUGGCAACGUACUUAUCUCAUCAGCCAUUGUGCCAGUAUUUGUUGGGACCCAGUCUUCAGCUUGCCCAAGUACCCAGGUUGGUAGCCAGCCUCAGCAGGCCCAGUCAUUUGCAAAAGCAAACCAGCAGGUGCUACUAGAGUUUCAUCCAGUGCUGGGAACUCUGCUUCUAGUCAGUCUCAUAUAUCAUGGCUUAGUUUGACGCAAACUGAUGUUCAGAAGUACACCAAUAUUUUUGUGAAAGUUGACGCAUACAGAUGGGAAGAUCACUGGUGCACAAACCCGCGACCUAUUUCUGAAAUAGGGACGACCAAGAGGUAGUCCUAUUUUCUUUUUAUUCAUCUUUUGGCUUGUGUUUUACAGGCACAGGUGCCAUAUAUGUGCUUAUUGAAGCUCUUUUCUUCAGUUUGUUUCUCUUCAUGUUAGCUGUUAACUGAACUGAUGUAUCUUUGCAAAACUUGUACUAUCCCUAUCCCGGAGUUAAAGUUGUUUAUUUUUCCUCUUC